GAGUUUGAUCGUGGCUCAGGAUGAACGCUGGCGGCGUGCCUAAUACAUGCAAGUCGUACGAACAGCGGAAAGUGCUUGCACUUUCCAAGUAAGUGGCGAACGGGUGAGUAACACGUGAAUAACCUACCUCAAAGUCUGGGAUAACCAUUGGAAACAGUGACUAAUACCGGAUAAAACCUAGUAGCACACGCUACAAGGUUAAAAGCUGCGUUCGCAGCGCUUUAAGAUGGAUUCGCGGUGCA
rnacentral:rRNA from 1 species